rnacentral:misc_RNA from 1 species
ACAAACUUGGUCAUUUAGAGGAAGUAAAAGUCGUAACAAGGUUUCCGUAGGUGAACCUGCGGAAGGAUCAUUACCGAGUUUAGGGCCUUAUUGGCCUGACCUCCAACCCCUUGUGUACUACAAUGUGUUUUGUUGCUUCCGGUGGGCAUAAAAUGCCCACCGGGAGCCCUACAACAAAAAUCUCUUUUGGGGAAUAGUAUUUGUCUGAGUUGUCAAAAGUAAUCAAUUAAAACUUUCAACAACGGAUCUCUUGGUUCCCGCAUCGAUGAAGAACGCAGC